rnacentral:rRNA from 1 species
CAGCCGCCGCGGUAAUACGUAGGUGGCAAGCGUUGUCCGGAAUUAUUGGGCGUAAAGGGCUCGCAGGCGGUUUCUUAAGUCUGAUGUGAAAGCCCCGGCUCAACCGGGGAGGGUCAUUGGAAACUGGGAAACUUGGGUGCAGAAGAGGAGAGUGGAAUUCCACGUGUAGCGGUGUAAUGCGUAGAGAUGUGGAGGAACACCAGUGGCGAAGGCGACUCUCUGGUCUGUAACUGACGCUGAGGAGCGAAAGCGUGGGGAGCGAACAGGAUUAGAUACCCGCGUAGUCCCUGUCUCUUAUACA